CGGGUAAUAGCGCAGCUGGUAGCGCGCUUGGUUCGGGACCAAGAGGUCCCCGGUUCGAAUCCGGGUUGCCCGACAA
rnacentral:tRNA from 1 species